CCCCUUUUUUGUUCUAUGAAUUCUAAUCCUGAGUUUUCUAUCUGUUACAUGCCAAGAAAUCCGAGCAAAAAAUUCCGGUCGACCUCCUACGGCACCCAUUAGUAUUUAAAGAUUUGAUUUCAUUCAACAAAUUAAUUUAGGACCUCCAUGUACGUGUCAUUUAGAACACAGCUAUAUACCGAAUGGUCAAUAUUAAUCAUCCAUGUAAUUUGCUCUAUGGGAUGUUUGC
rnacentral:lncRNA from 1 species